rnacentral:rRNA from 1 species
AACGCCAAGAACCUUACCAAGUCUAGACAUCCUGCUGACCGGUGAGUAAUGUCACCUCUCCUUCGGGACAGCAGAGACAGGUGGUGCAUGGUUGUCGUCAGCUCGUGUCGUGAGAUGUUGGGUUAAGUCCCGCAACGAGCGCAACCCUUAUUGUCAGUAGCCAGCAUUUCGGAUGGGCACUCUGAUGAGACUGCCAGGGAUAACCUGGAGGAAGGUGGGGAUGACGUCAAAUCAUCAUGCCCCUUAUGACUUGGGCUACACACGUGCUACAAUGGCGUAAACAAAGGGAAGCGAGCCCGCGAGGGGGAGCAAAUCCCAAAAAUAACGUCCCAGUUCGGAUUGUAGUCUGCAACCCGACUACAUGAAGCUGGAACCGCUAGUA